rnacentral:pre_miRNA from 1 species
AAAAAGACAAACCCUGAUUUCCGUGCCUAACGUUUGGCCGUCCGUCUUAUUUGAAAAAAAUUAAAAGACAAGUCACGCACAAAGUAUUAAUCAUGUUUUAUCAUCUAACAAUAAUAAAAAUAUGAAUUAUAAAAAAAAUUCAUAUAAUACGGAUAGUCAAAGUUAGACACGAAAACCCAGAGUUUGCUUUUUU